CGAACUCUGCAUUUCUGAAAGCCAAAUUUUGGAAAAUUCACCAAUCCUCCUUGCAUUACUGAACUAGAAAGCUAGAAAAAUAUUCAAAGACAAUGGUCUCUCAAAACAUUCACCACGUCACUGAUUAUACAUAUAUCUCAACAAUUAGUUCUUCUAUAUGUGUAGGUUUCCAGGUUUUAGUGAGUAAGUAAAGAGUAACAUUAACUUUUUGAGGCCCACGUACAAGAAUUUAUUUUUAGGCCUCUGACUUAAAGUACUGGAGUACUGUACUCGAAUUGAUUUAAAAUUCAACAAAUUAUUAACUU